UACGGGGGGAGCAAGCGUUGUUCGGAUUUACUGGGCGUAAAGGGCGCGUAGGCGGUAGCACAAGUCAGUUGUGAAAUCUCCGGGCUUAACUCGGAAAGGUCAACUGAUACUGUGCGACUAGAGUGCAGAAGGGGCAACUGGAAUUCUCGGUGUAGCGGUGAAAUGCGUAGAUAUCGAGAGGAACACCUGCGGCGAAGGCGGGUUGCUGGGCUGACACGUGACGCUGAGGCGCGAAAGCCAGGGGAGCGAACGGG
rnacentral:rRNA from 1 species